rnacentral:rRNA from 1 species
UGACGGGGCCGCACAAGCGGAGGAACAUGUGGUUAAUUCGAUGAUACGCGAGGAACCUUACCUGGGCUUAAAUGUAGAGUGCAUUUUUAGAGAUAGAAAUUCCCUUCGGGGCUUUCUGCAAGGUGCUGCAUGGUUGUCGUCAGCUCGUGCCGUGAGGUGUCGGGUUAAGUCCCAUAACGAGCGCAACCCUUAUCGUUAGUUGCCAUCUGGUAAUGCAGGGGACUCUAGCGAAACUGCCACCGUAAGGUGAGAGGAAGGUGGGAUGACGUCAAAUCAGCACGGCCCUUAUGUCCAGGGCUACACACGUGUUACAAUGGUCGGUACAGAGGGCAGCUACCUGGUGACAGGAUGCUAAUCUCGAAAACCGGUCUCAGUUCGGAUCGAAGUCUGCAACUCGACUUCGUGAAGCUGGAUUCGCUAGUAAUCGCGCAUCAGCUAUGGCGCGGUGAAUACGUUCCCGGGCCUU